CAUCUACUCCCUCCGGCCCAAAAUUCUUGUGUUAGAUUUGUUUACAAAUGGAUGUAUCUAAAUACUAAAAUGUGACUAGUUACAUUCAUAUCUACACGAAUGUAAGACAAGAAUUUUGUGACGGAGGGAGUAGUAC
rfam:Hordeum vulgare subsp. vulgare, WGS project CAJW01000000 data, contig: morex_contig_44389